rnacentral:rRNA from 1 species
AUUGAACGCUGGCGGCAGGCUUAACACAUGCAAGUCGAGCGAGCGGCGGACGGGUGAGGAAUGUCUGGGAAACUGCCUGAUGGAGGGGGAUAACUACUGGAAACGGUAGCUAAUACCGCAUACCAUCAGAUGUGCCCAGAUGGGAUUAGCUGGUAGGUGGGGUAAUGGCUCACCUAGGCGACGAUCCCUAGCUGGUCUGAGAGGAUGACCAGCAACACUGGAACUGAGACACGGUCCAGACUCCUACGGUAGGCAUCAGUGGGGAAUAUGGCACAAUGGGCGCAAGCCUGAUGCAGCCAUGCCGCGUGUGUGAAGAAGGCCUUCGGGUUGUAAAGCCCUUCCAGCGAGGAGGCGUUCCUCGCAGAAGAAGCACCGGCUAACUCCGUGCCAGCAGCCGCGGUAAUUC